rnacentral:rRNA from 1 species
AUGAACGCUGGCGGCGUGCCUAAUACCUGCAAGUCGAGCGCACGGACGAGAAGCUUGCUUCUCUGAUGUUAGCGGCGGACGGGUGAGUAACACGUGGAUAACCUACCUAUAAGACUGGGAUAACUUCGGGAAACCGUAGCUAAUACCGGAUAAUAUUUUGAACCGCAUGGUUCAAAAGUGAAAGACGGUCUUGCUGUCACUUAUAGAUGGAUCCGCGCUGCAUUAGCUAGUUGGUAAGGUAACGGCUUACCAAGGCAACGAUGCAUAGCCGACCUGAGAGGGUGAUAGGCCACACUGGAACUGAGACACGGUCCAGACUCCUACGGGAGGCAGCAGUAGGGAAUCUUCCGCAAUGGGCGAAAGCCUGACGGAGCAACGCCGCGUGAGUGAUGAAGGUCUUCGGAUCGUAAAACUCUGUUAUUAGGGAAGAACAUAUGUGUAAGUAACUGUGCACAUCUUGACGGUACCUAAUCAGAAAGCCACGGCUAACUACGUG